rnacentral:rRNA from 1 species
CCUACGGGUGGCAGCAGUGAGGAAUAUUGGUCAAUGGGCGCGAGCCUGAACCAGCCAAGUAGCGUGUAGGAUGAAUGCCCUCCGGGUGGUAAACUUCUUUUAUAAAGGAAUAAAGUGUGGCACGUGUGACUUUUUGUAUGUACUUUAUGACUAAGGAUCGGCUAACUCCGUGCCAGCUGCCGCGGUACUACGGAGGGUCCGAGCGUUAUCCGGAUUUACUGGGUGUAAAGGGAGCGUAGCAGGGUUGUUAAGUCAGUUGUGAAAGUUCGCGGCUCAACCGUAAAAUUGCACUUGAAACUGGCAGGCUUGAGUACAGUUGAGGUAGGUAGAAUUCGUGGUGUAGCGGUGAAAUGCGUAGAGAUCUCGAAGAAUACCGAUGGCGAAGGCAGCUUACUAAACAGACACUGACAUUGAGGUGCGAAAGUGUGGGUAGCAAACAGGAUUAGAUACCCGAGUAGUC